CUACGGGAUGCAGCAGUGAGGAAUUUUGCGCAAUGGGGGAAACCCUGACGCAGCAACGCCGCGUGAGUGAUGAAGGCCUUCGGGUCGUAAAGCUCUGUCAAGUGGGAAGAACCUAUCGAUAUUGAAAAUAUAUUGAUACUGACGGUACCACAAGAGGAAGCACCGGCUAACUCCGUGCCAGCAGCCGCGGUAAUACGGGGGGUGCAAGCGUUAUUCGGAAUCAUUGGGCGUAAAGGGCGCGCAGGCGGCCUUGUAAGUCAGAUGUGAAAGCCCGGGGCUCAACCCCGGAAGUGCAUUUGAAACUAUGAGGCUGGAGUAUGGGAGAGGGAAGUGGAAUUCCUGGUGUAGCGGUGAAAUGCGUAGAUAUCAGGAGGAACACCGGUGGCGAAGGCGACUUCCUGGACCAAUACUGACGCUGAGGCGCGAAGGCGUGGGGAGCAAACAGGAUUAGAUACCCUGGUAGUC
rnacentral:rRNA from 1 species